AUUAGAAGGCGUUGUGCUGUUUGAACUGAAACAGGCGCGAAGGAGCUGUCUUUAGUUCGCCAUUGCUGGCACAGAGAAAAGCGACAAUUGGAUGUCAAGGAGACAAUCACUGCAGCUGAUAUUGAGAGGACCUGCUGCCUGCCAGAGAGUCCAAGGCUGAUAAUUCUUGGUUUAAUCUUACUUUUCAUCAGCUCAAUUUCUUGUUCGGUAAUACUUGUUAACAUGUUUGAAUAAAUUUUGAUGGUUGUAGGUGACGGCUCUAGUACACAGAAAUGGAUGAUUGGAAUUGAAGGCCAGGUGAUUCGCCAAGGGGUGCAGCCAACCUUCAUGUCUGGAUUAGCAACACUCUUUGUGUGUUACUACAACUUCAACCUCCAAUACCAAGAUGCACUCUUGAAUACCUGCUUGCACUCUUGAAUUUAUACAAAGAAAUUUCUUCAAAAUCAGCCCAGAGAGAGGGUCAAAGGCAAGCAAAGGGAAAAUGAAGAGCAAGAAGACGGGAAAGUUAGUCCAGAAGAAGUCUGUUGCCAUCAACCCACACGUUUGCUCACUAAUUAGAAAGUUCACUGAGUUUGAAUGGGACUUCAUAUAAGGGAUUCUGCCAAACGUGACCACUUGGAAUGAUGGAAUAUGAGGAAGUUUUUUUUUUUUUUAAGACUUCAACCUGCUUCUGUUCCCUUCACAUACUAUUGCUCCUGUGAACUUUAUGGUAGUUUGUUUAUUCCUUAUUUCCACAAUUAGUUUUGCAUUUUUGAAAAUCACAAUUUAAAAGAUUUUAAAAUUAC